rnacentral:rRNA from 1 species
GUCCAUAGCCUACCACUGUAAACACGCCUGAUCUCAGAAAUUAAGUAGGGUCAGGCCUGGUUAGUACUUGGAUAGGAGGCUAACAGGGAAUACCAAGUGCUGUAAGCU